GAUGAACGCUGGCGGCGUGCUUAACACAUGCAAGUCGAACGAUGAAGCCCAGCUUGCUGGGUGGUUUAGUGGCGAACGGGUGAGUAACACGUGAGUAACCUGCUCUUAACUCUGGGAUACGCCUGGAAAACUGGGCCUAAUACCGGUAAGUAGCGUGCACCGCAUGGUGGGUGUUUGAGAGAUUUCUCGGUUUUGGAUGGCCUCGCGGCCUAUCAGCUUGUUGGUGAGGUAGUGGCUCACCAAGGCGACGACGGGUAGCCGGCAUGAGAGGGUGACCGGCGACACUGGGACUGAGACACGGCCCAGACUCCAACGGGAGGCAGCAGUGGAGAAUAUUGCACAAUGGGCGCAAGCCUGAUGCAGCGACGCCGCGUGAGGGAUGACGGCCUUCGGGUUGUAAACCGCUUUCAGUAGGGAAGAAGCGAAAGUGACGGUACCUGCAGAAGAAGCACCGGCUAACUACGUG
rnacentral:rRNA from 1 species